GUCACAACCAGCUACAGACCUGGUGAUAGCAGCAGGCUCUUCUGGAAGGUUAUGCUAUAAUGUCCAGUUUGGGGUUGCUGUGAAGGUGUUAUUAAAUGUGAUGAACAUUUUAAUCAAUAAACUUUGAGUGAAGCAGAUUACCCUUCAGUUGAAGGUUUUAUGAAAAAGGAAUGAAGUCUUUGAAAAAAGACAAAAAUUUACCUCCAGACUGCUUUGAACCUGACAAUGCAACAUAAACUCUUUCCUGGGAUUCCAUCCUGCCAGCCUUGCUGAUUUCAGACUUGUCAACCUCCACAAUCAUGGAGAAAACCAGUUUAACGUGAGUGAAAAGAACAUAACCGGUCUCUAACUGCAGGCUUAAUUGUGAGAAAAUGGGCACAUCACUCACUGAAGGUAACACUACUGACUAUACAAAAGAGAAAUAUUUGGCUCUUCUUUGACUGGAAGCUUCCUAAGAUAAAGAGGACGGUAUGUCUUUCCAUACUUCAAGGAUCUUCUUGAAGAGGUGUUCAUUUGCUUCCACAGAGAGAGCUUCAGCGUUGAAGGGUCACAUCAGACAUAACUUCAGAUUCUGCAUCGAUGAUGUGAUAUCCAUCUGCUGAGCUGAAGAAAAUCUUUAGUGUUUUCUCAGAACCAAUAGCCAGGUCAACUGUCACUGGCUUAUGACCAAGAGUUGGAAAUACCUGAAAAUAUAAAAACAAGUAUGGCCAAAAGGCAUUCGAACUAAGAGCACUUCGUGUCAAAUAAACAAAGUUUACUUUUCCAUGUGAUAAUCAUGAAUAACUUGAAUACAAAAUCAGACACAUACCUUGAAUUGAACUUGACACGGUGUGGACGUUGUGGACAUUCCUGGUUAUAAGGCACGGAAGCUGGCAUCUCUUGGACCUUGAAGACACAAUGUAAUUCUUAGUUUUUGGCAGACACAACAUCUUUGUUUGUAUGUGGUGCUGAGGAUCGAACCUGGGCCGCACACAUGCCAUGGAAGCGCACUACCGCUUGAGCCACAUCCCCAGCCCUUGAAAAUAUUUUCAUGUGCUUAUUAUCCAUUGUAUAUGUUCUUUGAGAAAUGUCUAUAAAAAUUCUUUGCCUUUUUUAAAAGUUGGGUUUUCUUUUCAACAUUAAAUUUUUAAGGGCUCUUCAUAUAUUGUAGACACAAGUACUUUAUCAAAUAUACAAUUUGCAAAUAUUUCUCCCAUUCUCUGAGUUUCCUUAAACUUUCUUGAUACUGUACAUUGAGCCACAAAAAUUAAUUUUUAUGAAUUCCAAAUUGAUGGUUUCUUAUUUUGUUGCUUGUACUUUUGGUGUCAUAUCUAAAGAUCUAUUGCCAAACCAAAGGUCACAAAGAUUUACUCUUGUGUUCUCUUCUAAGCAUUUUACUACUUUAGCUCUCACAUUUAGGUAUCUAAUCUACUUUGAGUAAUUUUUUUUUAUAAAGUAGGGCCCAUCUUAAUUCUUUUGUAUGUGGAUAUCUAGUAUCACACUGUAUUUAUUAGUCUGUAAUUUAUUACAUUUUAGAGGCACUGUUUUUUUCUCUACCAAUCUUUUAAAAAUGUUUAAAAUACUUUAUUUUCCUAAUCACAGUGGUGGUACAUGUAUACAGAGCAAGAUGUACAAGUGGUCUAUUCUCACUAAAUCUUUCCCCCACUCAUUUUAGCAGUUUAUAGUAUAAAUUCUUUCAGAGAGUUGUAUAUGCUGAUACAAUAGAGGAAUGACUGGAUAAAGAUAUGAUGAAAAGAUACAUGUUUAUAUUUAUAUAUUAUACAUGAUAUUUAUUUUAAAUCUAAACAAGUUAAUAUUAUUCUAUUUUUUCAAUUCAAACAUUUUAUGAAUAUGUAAAACACAUUUAUCUAUAUCAAUAAGCAAAUUCUGUUUCUUUUUAUGGCUGCAUAAGACUGCAUAGAACAGACAUAUAGGUCUAAUGCUCAGUUGCUGGGAUCAGGCUUACAGGUAUUGCCUUUAAGAAUGAUCUGUAUAGCGAUAAUUGAAGCCUUCUGACUGGAUGAGAUCACUCAAGUAGAACACAUACUUUCACAAGACAGCUAUAGCAUAAGACAGUAUGGCAUCAGUCAGAAAAGAGCACCUACCAUGGGCAUUAGGACUCUUAGGAUUUAGCACUGAUUUGAGAGUAGGAAAUUCUCACUUAAAUCUCUCCAAGGUUCAUUUUACUUUUUUCUAAAAGGAAGAUGGUGACCAUUUCCUAUUUCCAUGGAAUGACAAGUUAGUGGGGCCAAAUGGGAUAAAAUAUGUGAAAUUCUUUGAUAUAUUCAGAAUAAAAAUGAAUAAAUACAAGCUAUUAUUACAAAAUAUCUUGUAUUACUUGACCUCUUGUUUGAAUUAGAGUUCUAUCAGAACUGAGAAAUUCUGUCUACUUUUUUCCUUAAUCUACAAACAUUAGCACUCUCCAUUCCCAGUACAUUUGUUAUAGUGAAAUAAAAUAAGAAGCAAUUGUCUCUCCCUAAGUUCAUCUAUGUAUGCAUGUACCAUGUCAACCAAGUAGUUUGAUAAUUCUUCUGUAACCCUUAUUUCUUGCCAAUCUAGGAAAAAAAAUCCUCACUUUUAAUAAAUUGAAAAUUACUAUACUUUCAUAUAUAUAGGUGAGAUGCAUGCAGAAAAUGAAAAUUUUAUAUUACAAAAAAGUUAUCUUAGAUUGCUAGAAAUUUAUAAUGAACAUAUUGUUGAUUUGUGCGUUUAAGUAGUAUGGUUCUAACUUAAGCAAUCACAGGGAGUAAGAUUCAUAUGUAGGAAUGAAAUUGACAAUGAUUAAUACAAGACAGUGAACAACAAAUUGGAAGACGAUGUUAGAUGACUCAGGAAGGAAUUCUGCACUUGACAAAUAGAUUCACCACUGGGCUCCUUUGAAUGCCUACUAUCUCUAGAUUAUAUUUGAUUGAAAAUAAAAUGACUCUUCCAUUGCAUCUAGAAAUGUUUCAUUUAUAUAAACAUUUUAGAAAUAUUUUUGUUGUCAAAAAUGAAAUAUUUUGUAGAUUAUAAAGUAAAAAAUAGAGAUUCUAAAUAAAAAUACAAAGAUUUCCUUUUCUGAAUUUCAGUGAAAAAAAAAGAUAUUUUUGGCUUCUGGGGGACAAUGAACCAAGACAGGGACAACUGAUGUAAAAAACAAUUAAGGGGUUAACUGACAAUUAUUUUUACUUCUUCCUAGCAUUUUUAUCAACUACCCUGACUUAAUGACUUGAGGAAAGAAGUCUCUUAGCUGAAUUGAAUAGGUAACUGAAUGUAUCUAUUCAGUAAUCAGUUUUCUUCUUAGCUUAUUAUCUAAAACCCAGCAGGAAAAUGGGCAAUUACUUUUAAUGUUUAGUUUUAAAUAUACUCGUGAAAUAAAUAUAAGGAAAUGCACUAGGCUUCAUAGUGUCACCAAGUUGAAUCAAUUUUUUUGCUUGUAAAUUAGCUUUUCUCCUCCUAAAUGUCUAUAGUUUUCUGUAUCAUUUAAAAAUCUGAGAGAAAUAGCUGGAAGCUGCAGAGCAUUAUUUGGCAUUUUCCUAGGAUUUUUCAGUGAAUUUAUCCAUAAACAUUCAACUUUUAGAAAAUAAAUUUAGGUACCUAUUUGUCUUAUUGGGGAAGGGGAUGGAGCCUCAUUUGUAAAGUUGGAACCCCAGUGAAAGGUGAAAGGUUCUUUCUAUUUAUUGCAAAAUGAAGGCAUAAAUGAAUAAAACUACCCAUUUAUAGCAUGAGGAAUUACAUAGAAGUACAGGCUUGAGUCUCAUCCUAACCUUGCAAACGAAUUAAUAAAUCCCCUUCAAAUUCCUUUAAUCUGUUUUCUACAAAGGUAAAAGUUAAUCCUGUGGCUUUCAUUUCUGUCAUUUCUGGAAGGCUCUUAGACUUCCAUGAAUCUCUGUGAUGUAGCCCUCCUUUGAAAUGGUAACAAUAUCUGGUCCCAUAUAGAAAUAACCCAAAGAGACUAGCCAUUUUGUAUGUACUCUCAGCUUAUAAUAUUAAGAUUCUACCAAGAGGAAUAUGAACUCAUAAUACUAUAAUAAAUAGGAAUGAGAUGCUGGAGUGAAGCUAGGAAUACAAAUAACAACUUAAAAAGAAGCAGAGGCAAGACGGAGUCUUGUUUGGUUUUUUAAUGUCAAGGAGAUUGCUUUUCUUUCUUUGUUACAAAGCUAACAUCACCUAGCAAGAAUAGGAGAAUAGCUGAACUCUUAGCAGGGAAGGAGUUUUUGUGGAGUUACUUUACCUAUUAGAAACCUGAGGUCUAGAGACAUAAAAAGACCACUCUUCCAAGUACUUUUUGUCUCAUUGGUGGUAGACUUUGGGUUUGAACUUUUUUCUAAAUUUCCACAUUAUUGCUAUUUCCAUGAACCCCUGACAUCUACAAGAUGUGUGAGCAAGUCACAUACUUUCUGACCCAAAGGAAUAAAGGUGUUUUGAAGAUGCUAAAUGGCUGAUUAGCUAGCAGUGAAUUUUCUUACUAAAUAAUCAGAAAAUCAAAGUCCUUGACUAGGAGAAAAAAGAAAAAAAAUACCAAGAGUAGGUUUAAAUGUAAACUCCCCCAAAACAAAUAAAUGUAGAUCAGAUAUGUUUGGAAAGCAUUAGUGUAUUUGCCACUCUCAAUUAACAGGAAGUUGAGCUUGUGAGAAACACAUAAGUACAUUAUAUCCAUCAGGCCAAGUGGGUAAUUUGAAACUCUUACACAUCGCCUGUAAUAUGAUGCUACAGCAUUUCCUGGCUGAGGGCCAGUUGAUCUGAGGCUGACCUGAAUACCCUGCUUUUUGUCAAGAAGAGUCAGUUAAAAUAUGCCAGAACUUCCUUUGUAAUUUCACCAAAUUCUAGAAUCAAAAUCCGUUUUACUAUGGAAAAAUACCAGAAAAGUUUGGGGGUAAGAUCUUUAAAGAAUUUUAUUAACGUAAGUGUUUGAUGAAAUCAGAAUCUGUCAAACAAUUAUAUUUUUCAUACCAUAUGUUUUGUGACCUCUGAUCUGCUAAAGACUGUUAUAACUGUUUCCUUUGGAUAUGCCUUAUCUCUCAAGAUAAAUUAUAUAAAUAAAGGGGGACCAGUACUUAAAAGAUAAAUCAUGAAUCUGUUUAGCAAUACUUUUCUAAUAUAAUAGAAAGAUCCCAAAUAUGAUGGUCUUGAUAGAAAAUGUUAUUUUUAAUGUGCUGGUAGUAUAUUUAUUAAGGCACAAAAGGCUGGAAAUAUCUAAAUCUCUUAUGUUGAAUGGGGGAGAAAUGUCAGAAAAUAGCAAUGAAUUUUAUUGAUAAGAGUGGGAAUUCUGCUUUUAGGUCCAUAUAAUACCAACAUCUAUUGAAAAGAUAAUUUUAUUUGCCUGAGCUUAUUUUUGAGCCAGUUAGGAUGAGAGAUAUCUCAAAAAGUUACAAGUAAAAUACAUCUUCACAAUCCUCCAUGUGUUCAAGGGCAGCUGCCAGAUGUUUGAAGGCUUUUAGUCAGGGUAACCUGUCGGUGUUCUGUCUGCUAUUGCUCUUAAAAUAAAAAUGGGAAGCUGAGCUGGGGUUAUGGCUCAGUAGCAGAGCACUUGCCUAGCACGUGUGAGGCACUGGGUUCAAUCCUCUGCACCACAUAAAAAUAAAUAAAUAAAAUAAAGGUAUUGUGUCUAUCUACAAAUAAAAAUAUUUUUUAAAAAGGGGAAAACCAUCAUUUGGCUCAUAUAUAAUGUCAAUGUUUGUUAGAGUCAUAUGGAAGAGAAGCUAUUUAGUCUAGACCACAUGCACAAGGUGUGCAAAAGACAUUUCCAAGGCCAGUUUUAGGCAAAAUUUGCUCUUGGUCCCAUCAAUACCUCUUUUGUUACCACCCAGUGGGAAGCCUCCAUAUUCUGUAGAUGUACUUAACAUCCUUCCUCGGCAGCCAACACUUUCCUGUUCAGAUGACCAUUUCUUCUAGGCCCCGCUCUUUGACAAAUGCUAGUGUUCAAAUAUGAUGACUGAAUCUAUGUGAACAUGUUACAAGAUAUAAAUAUAUUAUCACUUCUAGGCAAGAAAACUUCAGGGGCAGCCUUAUAGAAAUAAUGACAAUUCAAAUAGAUGAGUUUAAAGUUGAAAAUUAAAGGAAGGACUGCUGGGCUAAUGAGCACUUUUAAUACUCACGCUGUAUCUCCAUCCAACAGACUUUUGAUAUUUAUUCACUCUCACCUUCCUUCCUAUUUCAGGUAAAGGAGUCUGCAAAACCAAGAACGAAAUGUUAUUAAACCUACUGGUCCAUUCUGAAAAUGAUUUAUGCUUAAGUAUUUUGUACUCCUUUAGGACUAAAUUAAAUAGUAAGAUAAUAUUAUUCCUCUCGAGUCUCACUAAUAGUUCUUUCUUAUUAUAUAUAGAAACUUGGCACAACAUUCAUGGUAAUAGAUGUAACUGCCAUAUUAAUGGGAAAAUUAUAGUUAAAUAAUAGUAAAGUACUAUUUUCCAUUUAUAAACACAGGUAAUUAACACCAAUCAUCUAUCGGCUAAACACGAUUUUUAAAUAUUUCAAAAAUCCGAGUAUCUGAAACAUAGAUUAGAAGUGGGUCCAGGUGUCUCAAGCCAAAACAAGAAAAUAAAUAUUUUCUAGAUUCUCAUUCAAAAAAGACCGAGGUUGAUAAUUUAGAAGCCAUGAUUUGCAGAGCAAAAUGAAUCCACAAAACCUCAAAAUCCAUUGAAACUCAAAUUGGUUUCCAACGUUUCAUAUUUUUCCAACGAAAAGCACACAAGUCUCUAAAUAGUUGCAGCCUCAUUUCCUAAACAAAUUGGAAAAAAAAUCUAUGAUAUUGACAACAGUUCUGUGAAUCAGUAUGUUUUUUCAACUCAGAUUUUCUCUUUUUAAAAAAUAUUUGUUUUUUUAAUUGUACUUGGAUACAAUACCUUUAUUUUAUUUAUUUAUUUUUAUGUGGUGCUGAGGAUUGAACCCAGAGCCUCGCACAUGCUAGGCAAGUGCUCUACCAAUGAGCCACAAUCCCAGCCCAUCAACACAAAUGUGGAAAUAUAGUGAACCAAUAAGUACAGUAUACUAAUGUGUAUAAAUAGUAUUAAGUGACAAAUAUAAUAGAUCCAGAUUAAGAUAACAAUAAUUACAUAAAACAACGAUUUUAAAACAAAAUAUUUUCUGAGAUGUUUAUCCCAAGAACACUAUCCAUUAAUGGAACAGAACACAGAGAGAGUAUAAUAUUACCUUACGCGCAUUCAUCACUUUAACAGCUGUAAAUGCACCAGUCUUUUCAUGGAGUCCCUGAAACACAGGAUAGUGACAAACGUCAAAUGUUAACUAUGUAGCUAUCAAGAAGCAACCAAACUAAAAAAAAAUACUAUACAAAUUACAUAAAGUCAAAAACAGAGCAUAUAAUGAAAUAUAAAAUAUGACAUAUAGAUGAAAUAUAAAGUAAAUAUAUAAAAAAGAAAUAUUAAGUUAUCAACACUUUAAAGAAAUCCCAACCAUUUCACUCCAAAUAAUUAAGAAAGUUUAUGGAGUAGUUUUGCUUUUUAUAUAUUUGUACUAAGUGUGAACAUUAAUUGAUCCUUUAAACAUAUUGCUUAGUUAAUGUAUUUAGUCUAGAUUUGUAUGACACCUAAGCAUCUGGAUGAAAAAUACAAAUUUUCAUUAGAAGAUGGUGGGAAAGGAGGUGGACAUUUCUUUUUUAUAAUUAUUUGUUCUAAUUAUGCAUGACAGCAGAAUGCAUUUUGACUCAUUGUACACAAAAGAAGCACAACUUUUCAUUUCUCUGGUUAUACACAAUGCAGAGUCACAUAAUUUGUGCAAUCAUACAUAUAGACAUUUCUUUACAUACAUAAAUUUCUCAAUAAGGAUCACUAAUAAAAACAACUUAUAAUUAAUUUAAGAGCCUAAACUGUUUAAUAUGUCCUGAAUUAUAUAAACCAAAAAGUUUAUGAAAGAAACUAGUUCUAGAAGAUUCUUUCUUAUUGGAAACAUGAUGAGUUCUAAGAACUUAUUCUUUUCCUGAAUGAAGAGCAAGUUGUAAAAUUACAAAGUUUUAAAAAAUGAACAUAUUUGUUUAAAUUUAAAGCUCUUAUUUUGGGUUCUAACUUAUAAACAUAUUUGAAGCUAUGGUAAUAAAAGAAAUUUCAGUCCAGCUUUAGUAUGAGUAACUUAAGUUUGGGAUAAACUUAAAAAGAAUGCCUGAUUUUCUAGUUCUCUAGCAGAAAAUUUGAUUUUGGGGGUAGACUGUGUUGAACAGUGUCCACCCAAAUUUCAAAUUGAUCUGGAACCCCAAAUUGUGACCAUAUUUGAAAACAGAUUCUUUGUAGAUGUAAUCAAAUUAAGGUGAGGUCAUACAAAAGUAGGGAACUAAAAGAACACUAUCACCUGUCUUCAUUGCAGCAGCUUAUUUAGAUAGAAUGAGAUUAUUUUGUAGGGUUACAACAGCACUUAAAUUGAAUGGAGUUCAUAAAAGUUACUGAAUAUGUUGAAGACUUCAGAUUUAUUUACAUCUCUGGGAGAAAUUAUAAACGUACACACACAUAGAUGUAUUCAAAUAGCAAUUAUGAUUUAGAAAGAAUUUUUUCCUAACUAUGCCUACAAAUAUUUCCUACUGAAAAAUUUCCCAUAUCUGUAUGCACAAAUAAAACAUGUUGGAAACUGGUUCUCAUAGACCCCUUAAAAGAAUGACAAUGUCCCCUUCUUUGAUUCUAAGAGGUUAUUUAUGGGCCAAACUACUAUUCUGUGUAAUACAGAUUAUUUAGCAUAUUAAGAAAGAUAUUAGUCCACACUUUAUUUGAUUUAAAUGAUAGUGAACUUUAAAAGUUUUAAAAUCUGAAAUGUAUAGCCAUUAAACUUGUGUUAUACAGUAGUAGGAUAACUGAAUGUCAUUAAAAGGUGCUAUCCAUAGCCAUAGAACAAAAAGUGUCAGCUUGGUUCUACCCUCACUAUAUACAGUUGAUUUUCAUUUGAAAAUUGUACAAAAUUAUUUUGUCUGACAAUGUAUCCCAUUGUUGGGUUUCAAAAUAUACUGUUACUACAGAGGAAUAAAACCCUAGAUCUUGGAAUGUAAUUGUUUAAGACCAAACCAUUAUACAAGCUUCCAUAGCUAAAGAUAAAUUGUUGCCAUUAAAAUAACAUUUGAGAGAGUUCCCCUGUAUUUUGACCUUUAAAAGUUAUUUUGAAAUAUUUUUGAACAGACAAUAGUUUCAAAGAUAGCACCUCUACACUGUAUAUCUUCACCCAGAUUUUUCUAAAGUUAACAUGUUUCAUGACCACGGUACAGUUGUCAAAACUGAGAAAUUAAUAUGGGUACAAUGCCCUUAAUUAAAUUUUAGGCUUGUUCUAAUAUUCCUGGUUUUUCUACUAAUGUCCUUUUUUCAGGACCCAAACUGGGAUCCCAUAUUCUAACUAACAACCAUGUCUCCUUACUUCUCCAGUCUUUAUUUUUCAUGACUGACACUUUUCAAGAGUACUGGUCAAGUAUUUUGCAUAACGUUCCUUAGUUUGGGUUUGGCUGAUGUUUUCCUGUGAUUAGACUGAGGUUAUGUGUUUUGGGAAAAAAAUAUCACAGAGAUAAAAUAUCCUUUCUUCACAUAACGUGAGGGGUGUGUGGCAUUACUAUGAUCAUGAUAUGAUCAAUGGUGAUGCUAACUUUAUCAUUUAGCUAAGGUAAUAUUUGCCAGGUUUUUUUCCACUGCAAAAUUACUAUUUUCUCCUUUCAAACUCUGUUCUCUCGAAGUGAUUGUCAAUGGUUUUGAAGAGGUUUUGUAUGUCUACAUAGAGAACCUAGAAGUUAUCUUGAGAUAAUUGUUCAGUAGUGCCAUCUUGUGGUUCACUGAUUAUAUGGAAGCUGUUUAGUGACCUCCUUAGCUGAAUAACAGUACAUCAUAAAUUUUCUAAGUGAGAUGUUGAAUUAGGCCAUGCAUAUCUGGUUUUUAGGAUGAGUAUUUUUUUCAGUUAUAAUGUACAAUCUAUGGCAAAUGAAGUUAAACCAUUAUUUGUUAGCAUUAUCUGUGUUUUAACAGUGUUUAAGAAAGGAGUUUGGUUUUGAAUUCUACAUUGAGUGUUAAAUAAUCACAAUCGUCAUUGGCUGUAGAGAAUUUCACACAGGAAAAUAACAAGAGCCCUAAAUUAUAAAUGUGGAUUUUGUUCUCUUUUUCUUACCAGCAAUAAUCAGCAAUGCAUAGGAAUCAGGAGCUGUACUAGUAGCUGCUCCCUUAGAUUGAAUUUGAGUACACAAAAUGGCCUUUAUAUAUUUUUUUAUAUUGGAAAAUAAAAAGUGUAUACAUUUCUGGUGCAUUAACAAGAUGACUUAAUAUAUGCUUACCUUGUGGAAUGGCUAAAUCAAACUACCUAACAUAUGCAUCAUCUCACAUGCUUAUAUUUAUUUUAGUGGGGAAAAUAUAAGCCUUAAAAUCUAUUUUAUUGAGUUUGAAGGUUCCCAACACAAAGAAAUGAUAAAUGUUUAAGGAUAUGGAAACACUAAAUACUCUCAUUUUAUCAGUACACACUGUAUGCAUUUAUUGAAUUAUCACACUAUACAAUGCUAUAUCAAUUUUUUUUUAAAAAUCUCUUAAAAAUUCUAAGUAUACAAUGUAUUUGACUUUUAAAAAAUUUUGUUCUAAUUAUUUAUACAUCUAAUUAUCCAAUAUAGUUUUAUUAACCAAAGUCACCAUGUUCUUUGAUCAUUUUCCCAUCCUUACACUGUACUUUGCUUCUAGCAAGCACUUAUUUUACUCUGUUUCUGUUAGUUUGCCUCUUUAUAGAUUACUUACAUAGUUAAAACAUUUGUUAUUUUUUUCUGUGCCUGGCUCAUUUCACUUAGCAUAAUAUCCUCUAAGUUCAUCCAUGAUAUCACAAAUGACAGAAUUUCCUCUUAUUAAAUAAUUCUUGAGAGUCAAAGAGCAAGAAGAAAAUUCUUAGAUCUCAUUCUUAUCAUAAGAAAUGGUUACGUAAAUCAUUUAUGGAAGUCCAUAGGCUGUGUACAGAAGAUGAUAUGUAAUAGAAAUGCUUUAUAGCUGUUAUGGUUUGGAUAUAAAGUGUCCCCAAAAAUCUCAUGUGUUAGAAUGCUCAAAAGUGAUAUGAUUAGAUUAUAAGAACUGCAACCUGAUCGGUGGAUUAAUCCAUUUAAUGAUUUAUAUUUUGAAAGGACUACUGUACUGGGUGGUGGCACACGGGAAGCAAGGUGUGGCUGAAAGAAUUAGAUGACUGGGGGCAAGACUUUGAGGUUUAUAUUUUCUUCAUGGUAAGUGCAGCUGUCUCUUUCUGCUUCCUGACUGCCAUGAACUGAGCAACUUUCCUCUGCCAUGCUCUUCUGACAUGAUGCUCUGCUUCAUCUUUGGCCCAGAGCUAUGGAGUCAACUGACCGUAGACUGAACCUCUGAAACUGGGAGCUCAACAUAAACUUUUGUUUCUCAAAGUUGUUAUAGUCAGGCAUAGUGAUCAAAGUGAAUUAAAGCUGACUAAACAAUAUCCAUUCCUGACUGUAGGCUUAAGACUAUUGACACUGAGAAUCAAGAUGUAUACCAUCUUCAUAUUAGGCAACUCAUUGUCUUAUUAUCCAAUUCAUUCAACAUACUCAAGAUUGGUUAUUAAUGUAUCAAGCAAAUAUUAAAUUAUGGUUUGAUAAUCAACAGGAGAACAGCUACUUUAAAAAUUUCUCACCACAUGCCAUAACCAGAAAAAUGUAUAAAAUUCAUUCAAGUUCUCUCCUCCAUUUUGUUAAGGCAACAAAACUCCCUGAUUAUUCGGACAUUAGCUGAAAUAAAGACAUAUGAUUAUUUUCAUUUAUGUUUUAGUAUGUGUUAAAGUAGUCAGAUGAGGUAACUACAAUCAUGACAAUGAACAGGUAUGUAUUGAUGGAAAGGAAAGGCAGAGGAAGGAAAGGGCCAGAGCCUCAGAAAUUCCAGGAGAGGCUGUUCUUCAGCUAUAAUGAAGGGAAUAGAUGUCUGGAAUGGGAGGGAGGAAAAGUGAGUAAGGAUGGAUUUUUAAGUUUUGAGAGGAGGAAGAUAGAGAGGUGGAAAGAUAAACUGUUCCAAGUCACAAGUUUAUUGGAGGAAUUUACAGUUUUUACAAUGGAUAAUCUGAUAAAAUUAGAGAAUAGAAUAAAAAAUAAAAACUUGUUUUAACAUAAAUUCUUAGAUUCCCUCAUCCAGUCUGUGAAAAGGGUUAAAGGAAUUAAUAUAUGCUACCAUGAGCAGAACAUAAAUAAGAUCUUAAAACACUUUCCUGACAAAUUUAUGCUGUCACAGCUAACUCUGUUUCCUGGGGUUGCACAACAAAAUACAGUAAUUAGGAAGAACAUGUAUUCUUUUCACAGGGCUAGUUGAAAUUACCCAGGAGAGAACAUAAAUCCCUCAAUGUGUUGAUUUCAAUUUGGCAAGGAUUUGUGUUAUUAAUGAAUUAAUUUAGAUAAUUAAAUAAGCACCAUUAUUUAGUCUGCUUCCCCCCAAGAAAAUAUUUUAUUACUGUGUUGAUGCUCUGCAAUGACUCCAAGAUGAAUAUUAGUACUCUGAAUAUAUCUUAUGAACAGAAAAUGUUACAUGUCCCUGAAUUUAAGAUACAGCUCACAUAUUAAACAUUGUUAUGCCUCUUAACAAUGUUUAAUUUAUAACCAAUAUCUUAAAUUAUAACACAGACACGAAAUACAACACACACACACACAAUUUGCUUUAGACAAAUACAAUUUGCUUUAAACAAAUACAAUGCAGGAAAACAAUGAUACACAUAGCAAAAAAAAAAUGAAAAAGAAUGAUCAUUUUCUUGUUUAUAAAAUGAUUUGUAUUAGUAUUGAGUAAAUACCAUACUACUUGAAUUUAUUUUGGGAAGCAGAUUAUACUAUAUUUUAGAUUUCUUCCACUUUGUAAGAAUAUCUCAAAAAUAAUAAAGCAAGCUCAAAUGAUAUACAGGGGAUGCAGAAUCAAAUAUAGUUAACUCAAUAACUGAAGGGGGAAUUUAUAAAUUCAGUGUUCUGAUCACCUGAGAAAGCCUUGCUGACCUCUAACUGGCCAACCUGUCCACCAUCUUCCCAAGCCCAUACUUUUGGCACAAAACAUCUCAAUAUUUCCACUUUCUUUUUAUGGGACUCCUUUCUCCCUUUGGGCCUGUUAAGUUAGGUAUGUUUCUUCUAGUUAUUUGCUAUGAUUUCUGUUAACAAAUGUAAGAGAUAAACCUAGAUGGAGGGAAGGCACAAGGGAGAACAGUGGUAGAACAGGAAGCAACUGAUGGCCCUAGGUGGUACCUAGUCUUCUCAAAUAAUGAUAUUGACAAAGUUGUGAAAGGCAUAUGGGGAAAUUUAUUAAAUACAGGAUAUUUUGAUAGAAAAAUACAUUGAGGCAAGAAAGACUAGAUAUCAAACACAUCAUUAUAUUAUUGGUUCACUUCAUAAAUAAAAUCAGGUAAAACAUAAAAGUUCUUGAAGUGUGACAAUAUAUUGCUUUCAUUUGGGUAUCUCUAGUGCCUAGCAUAGUGGUAGAUAAGAUCUUUUAAUGAAUACUAAUUGAGUGAAUGAUGAAUAGAAUAACUAGAAAGCUCCAUCAAAGAGGUACAAUGUCAAUUGGACCAUGAAGAUGGCAUAGCAUUUGAAGAGAAUUGAAAGUAGACAGUGAGCCCAAUGUUUGGGACAUCAUGAGCUGAAUAGAAAGGCACAGUCACUGAAGACAAAAAAAAAUAAAAACAGAAAAUUGGGUAAUGGCCAUAUAGAAAGGAGAGAUGAAAAUAAGGGGAUACAAGAGUGCACCUGUUUUUGUCAUGCCAGAAAUUUCAGUAUAAAUUUUGUUUAAAGUAAAAACCUUAUUUAAAAGAAACAGAAGUCAUCAUAGAGAAAUAAGCCAUUAGUAGUUUAGCAGUUUAUGGCUGGCUUUUGCUAGUUAAUAGUCUGAUGCAAAGCUCAGAAUUGUUAAGUUACUGAAAAACCAGCAUUGAACUGCAGUAAUGAUCAAUUUCUUGGGGAUUACACAUUUUAAACCAUAACAAAUGAUUUAAAAUAGCAGUUGUGACAGCUGUGUUGGGAAAAUCCAUCAUUCUGCAGCAGAUAAUCAGCACGUUUUUUUUUUCCCCCGGAAAGAAUAUGGGACAGUCCUUGAUGGCCUUGUUAUUUUGAUUAGGCUAUUUUUUAUAUCAUGCUGCUAAAGAAAUUGUUGAGGAAAGACUGCUGAAUCAUUAGCAGUUCCUGCGUAGUCCUUCCAGUUAUUUAUUUUGCCUUCUGUUGGCAAAUCUAAACCACAUAAUCCCCUGAGCUUUUUUUUUUUUUUCUUUUCAAUUGGUUUUGUGGUGGGGAAAGGCCAUGAGGCUACUCACUAUACUCAUGUUCACUUUGUAACCUUAUUUUUCAUUCACACAAUUUUGUCCUUCCUGUCAUUUGUUUGGGAGACUAGCAAAGAAACCAUGUGAUCCUUUAAGGCCACCAAGAGUGCAGCCAUAAACAGCAUCUCAGAAUAUUUGAUGCUGUGCUACAGAAAAAUGAGACAACAUGCAUAGUAGGAUAGUUUUGGUCAGCAUCAUGUCUGUGCAGAGAAAUAAAAACGUGGAGCUGGAGAGGACUUUUGAACAUGAACAAAUCAUAUCCUGCCUCCAAGAAGGCCUUUCCUUAACCAAUCCUUGAGAUGGAAAAUAAGGACAGUUAGUUCCUAUUGGAACUCUUCAUUUUGUUUCCUUUCUUAGUCUUCAAGAAUUCCAAAGGGACAGAUGUGUUCAGCAUGAUCAGGUAUUAGAGUUGUGUGGAAAAAAACUAGCCAAGGUUGGGAGAUAGAAUUGGAGAAAGAAAAAGGUACACACUAAUCACACUCCACCUCAUACCUUAUUCAUCAGGCAGAGUUAUUUCUUUAAAACAAUUGCAAAAUAAGGAGAUGCAUCCUAUUUGGGGAGACCCUCAAAAGAAUUCCAUAGACUUCAACUUUAGAUGUGUUAAAGUAGGUUUAAGGGACUCUGAUGUACAGCUGUUUGAUGUUAUUUGAUAAUUGACACAUUACUAAGACUUACACUCUUUUUAAUUCCCACAAAGUCUAGUAUACUGCUCAGGUACAGACGUUGAUGAUUAUAUUACAAUAAAGGGCAAUCAUUUGUCAAAGGGCACCAAAGAGGGUCUCUGAGUUAAUAUUUGCAUGAACAUCCCAUCACCACAAAUGUUUUGAAAUAGCCAAGUGUAAUCAAAAUUAGCAAAUUCUUUUUUAGGUGUGAUUUUUUUUCUCCUUUUGGAGAAAACUUAGAAUAGGCAGAAGCAGAUAUUUCUGGCUCUGAACAGAUGAAGCCUGGAGUUGAAUAAAUACAAUUUUGACUUUGACACCUUAAGAUUGAAGGCAUGUAUGAUCAAGCUGCUACAACUUUCAGAGCAAGCAUUGUAAGUUAAAGGUACCAGAGGGAAAGGAGGUCCUUUUUCAUCAAGCACAGUAACAACUGAGAUAGUUGCUAGACUUUAUAAAUAUUACUUAAAGCACAGUUGUUACUUUUGGACCACCAUGAACAUAUAUCAUUUCACACAUAUCAGAGAGUAAAUUUACAUUCAAGUUGUUUAAAAAGCACAAAUGAAACUCACAUGAUCAGGAGAUGCUGUAUGUUUCUAAGGCAUCAUAAGUUCCUUUUACCUAAUUAAUCUAUUUGCAUAUUCAUCUCCUUUUUUUAUACUGGCAGCUGCCUAAGGGCAAAUUCUCUCUUUGUAUAAUGAUAGGGUCUAGUACAUUGCCUGGCAAAUUGUAGGCACUCAUCAAUCUCAACAUGAAGUUCUAAAAGAUAUGCUGGGUACAGUGGAAUAUGCCUGUAAUUCCAACCACUGAGAAGACUGAGGAAGGAGGACUGCAAGUUUAAGACCAGCCUUGGAAAUUUAGGGAGACCCCAUCUCAAAAGAAAAGUAAAACAAACAAAUAAAUAAGAUAAAGAAAUAAGGGGGCUGGAGAUGAUGUAGUCCAGUGGUACAAUAUCCCAAGGUCAACCCCCAGUACUGCAAAAAUACAUACAUACAGACAGACAGACAGACAAAAGGAGAGGAGAUGCAUGGAGGGGUGUAUACAUGUAUGUAUGUGAUGGUUGUGAUGCAAAUAUAAUUUUUAUGCUAAAAAAUAAUAUGGGAGAAAAGGGAAUCACUGUCCAAUGUGUCCUAUGACACAUUGGAGUUUUCACACAAAGGCUGUAAAAUGCUGCAAUGUAGCAAAUUACUUUCAGUAUUCAAAGGUGAUUAUUUAUCCAUAGGUGAAUUUCCUUUUUUUUUUUUAACCCUAUAAUCAUCUUUCUGAUUCCAUUGUGAGGCCAAAUUUCCUCACAAAUUUCUUCAGUUAAAAAGCCCCAAGGGAAAAGAUAUGAACUAGUUAAGGUCAGAGGGCAUGAAUGUAAAAACACAGUAGAAGCUUCUGCCAAAUUGGCAUAAGUUGGGAUUGUCAGAUCACAUUACCUAAUUUUCAUCCAUGUUUCCUCCAGCUUCUACUCUGGUACCUUCUUCACUAAAUGUAUGAUACAACCUUGUAGUUAUAUCAACUAUGGAAACAUGAGAUGGAGAAAGUUCCAAUUACUUCACCUCUUCUUUUUCCCUCAGCAAACCCCCAAAUUACACAAAUCUUGAUUAGUUUAAUUUAAAAAAUGCAUACUGGACCAUAUUUGUAGGUAAAAAGUUACAGAAAUACCAGAAUGAUAUUUUUCCUCUUCCAGAAAUUUGGGACAGUGAUGGUCAUGCUUUUUAGAACUGUGAAAGGAGUCAGAAAAGGGCCUUCGUGGUUUCAGUGGCUUUGUAGCUUAGAAACUGCUCUGUAAUUUGAGGCAGUUAUGUGUGCUUAUACAGCAGCUUCAACUGAGUUUUAUUACCCUUGUUAUUACUCCUGCAGGGAAAAAUAGGUCAAAAUAUGUAGUAACAUCAUUUGCAAAUGGAGCUGCUCUGUAUUGUGCUACAACACUGAAAUAGGAAAUUGCACAAAAUGGACAAUAAAGUUCAAUGUUUUGGGCUGCAGGAUACAAACAACAUUUGCUGGAAAUAAAUGAAUAGCUAUACUAGGUAACUAAGGGAAGACCUCAAUAUACUGCUAUAUGAUAAGGCAGAUCUACAGGGGACAAAAACACAAAGCCAGUGAUGGUCACUAUUACAAAUGGGUGACAUUUAAAAAUCUUCAAUGCUGGUCAUUAAUUAAAUUUAAAGCCACAGGCUGUAACUGCACAUACUGAGGAAAGUAUAUAGGAAAUCCAUGAGACUAGGGCUCACCCCAUCUCAAACCCUCUGAUAACUUAUCUGAGCAGCUUUAUUUGUCAAAGUAUAGUAGAAUCAUAAUCAAGUGGGAGAUGACUAUGUAGUGCUCCAUGUAUGAAGCUUCCCCACAAUGACAUUUUUUCCUCUGACAGACCACAUACUACAAAAAUGAAAGGGAACUCAGCUACCAGAAGUUGAUUUGGUAUUCAGAAAUUUUUCCCACUCAGUGCCUAAUUUUCUUUCCCACUGUCACAGAUUUUACUCUUUUAUUCUUGUAGAUUUAUGUGGGUUUAACCAUAUAGCAGUGUAUUUGAGGGCAUGGGCAAGGGCAAAGAAAUAAAUCCUCCAUAAACAAACAGGUUUCAGUGCACGACCAGUAAUGCUUCAUUGCAAUAUCACAAUGUUUUAAUAUAGAUUACUUUCUUUAUGCAAUGCAUGAAUCAGUUAACACUCAUGCAAAAUACAUUCCAUCUGCUCAGACAGAUGUAAGCUGCAGUGUUUCCAAUUCUAUCAAACAGUACAACUAGCUGAAAGAGAAGAACUGACACAGAUGGGCAAUGUGUGAGGAGAGGGGCUCAAAUUAAAGAAAAAGCUUUGUCUUAAAAUCUACCCAGUUGAAAAAUGAGAUUCUCAUUUCAUCCAUGUUUGUCCACAGAGGUACAAACACAACAGCCCUUAGUAUGAAGUAAGAUGGAGAGGGUGUUUAUGUCUUAGUGAAAACAUUUUAACUAAAUGGAAUCACCUUUGGAGUCUGUAGCAGUGAUUAGCAAUUCUAAAAGGCUCUUUAAGUAACAUAAGCUUGACUAGGAUAGAUGCUAGGACUAAGGGAAAUGUCAAGGGGUAUGGAAAAUGGAAAAGGAAAGAAUAAUAGGAAAAGUGAGAGAAGAGGUAGAUUGUUGAAGAAAGAUUGGGAGAGGAGGAGAUGAUGAGAAAAAGAUGACUUCUAUUAAAGAUUGGCCAAGAAAUGCCAACAAUAGCCCUAAAGAUCUUAUCAGUAUUCUUAAGCACAGAUGUAAAAGAUAAAAGUAAUAAUUUCCAUCAAUAUCAAGUUGCUAACUUAUCAUUAAUUCCCAAGCUUUUCCAAACGCAAAUACUUAAAUAUUGUCAUUGUAGCCCCUAGGGUUGACUGAAAGCUACUUCUCCAUGUAGUCUGUUGCCUUGAAUUCACCUUUGUGGACAAUGCUCAAAGUCCGAUAUUCCCUCUCUUAACACUCUACCUUGCUGCCACAUUCACUCAGCAUCCUAUAUGGCCUUUGCAAAAUCAAAGCACUAGCUAACUUUCCCUUAUUAAUGAAUUACAAAGGUCUUGCCCUGUGAUCUCUUCUCACCAAGGUACUACAUAUGCAUUUCAACUGGAGCUGUUUUUGUUCAAGAGUCUUUUCAACUCUAAGGAAUUACCAAUGCACUGGGAAUUUCAGCACAUUUUGGCUACUAUAAUGUUGGAUUUGCCCAUGACAGGCUGUUUACCUCAAGCCUACAGAAAUGAAAUUUGAAGAGUGUGAAAUCAACUGAAAGGCUCAGAGUUAAACCCCUCAAUGUACCCCUCACAGUUGUGUGGCAGACAGAGGUGGGAGGAGGUAAGGGAUGGUAGGAUAUAGCCACAUAGAGAAUGUCAAGCUGAAAACUGCAACAUGAUAAAAGGAGAAUGGUGCUAGUGCAUAGGAAAAUAGAAUCUAAGCACAGAAAGAUCCUAGUUAAGGUUACCAAAAAUUAACAAAAAAUAAUCACCGAGGCAAGUAAAAUCUGGCAAAGCAGGGUGGAAGACUAAGGCAACAAUCAAGAUGAAAACACAUAUUCAUGCAAAAUAUUUGGUUAUGUCAAUAAAGUAUGUAUAUGUGAAUAUAUGCAUGUAAGAGGAUUUCAUGGGGGCAACAAUGUGUGUGGGCAGCAGUAACAAUUCCUGAAUUCAGAGGGAAGGAAGGAAAGAGAUUUUAAAAAGGAUCAUGGAAGUCUGUAAAAACUAACUUUGUCUUAUAAACAACUUGGACAUUUUUCCUUCCUUCUUCAAAUAGUUUUUCCUGCUGUAAUUCUUCAUAUUUGUUUAUCUCCACUGCUCAAUGGCACAGAUUCAUCAGAGCCAAGACUAAUCCCAAGACUCCCUUCCUAUUUUAGUGCUCUUUUUAUUCUUUCACACUAUCUCCUAUUAAAGAGGAAGUUAUCAUCUGUGGGCUAGGCAGCAAGCAAGAUAUUGUAAAAAUUAGUUUCUACUUUUAAGGAACUUUUAAUAAAGUAAUAAAGAUUUGCAAAUGACAUGAUUCUAUACCUAGAAGACCCAAAAGGGUCUACAAAAAAACUACUAGAACUAAUAAAUGAAUUCAGCAAAGUGGCAGGAUAUAAAAUCAACACGCAUAAAUCAAAGGCAUUUCUGUAUAUCAGCGACAAAACUUCUGAAACGGAAAUGAGGAAAAACACUACAUUCACAAUAUCCUCAAAAAAAAUAAAAUACUUGGGAAUCAACCUAACAAAAGAGAUGAAAGAUUUAUACAAUGAAAACUACAGAACCCUAAAAAGAGAAGUAGAAGAAGAUCUUAGAAGAUGGAAAAAUAUACCCUGUACAUGGAUAGGCAGAACUAACAUAAUCAAAAUGGCGAUAUUACCAAAAGUUCUCUAUAGGUUUAAUGCAAUGCCAAUCAAAAUCCCAACGGCAUUUCUUGUAGAAAUAGAGAAAGCAAUCAUGAAAUUCAUAUGGAAAAAUAAACGACCCAGAAUAGCAAAAACAAUGCUAAGCAGGAAGUGUGAAUCGGGAGGUAUAGCGAUACCAGACUUAAAACUAUAUUACAGAGCAAUAGUAACAAAAACAGCAUGGUACUGGUACCAAAACAGGCGGGUGGAACAAUGGUACAGAAUAGAGGACACAGAGACUAAUCCACAAAGCUACAACUAUCUUAUAUUUGAUAAAGGAGCUAAAAGCAUGCAAUGGAGGAAGGAUAGCAUCUUCAACAAAUGGUGUUGGGAAAACUGGAAAUCCAUAUGCAACAAAAUGAAACUGCAUCCCCUCCUCUCGCCAUGCACAAAAGUUAACUCAAAGUGAAUCAAGGAGCUAGAUAUCAAAUCAGAGACUCUGCAUCUGAUAGAAGAAAAAGUUGGCUCUGAUCUACAUAUUGUGGGGUCGGGCUCCAAAUUCCUUAAUAGGACACCCAUAGCACAAGAGUUAAUAACAAGAAUCAACAAAUGGGACUUACUUAAACUGAAAAGUUUUUUCUCAGCAAGAGCAACAAUAAGAGAGGUAAAUAGGGAGCCUACAUCAUGGGAACAAAUUUUUACUCCUCACACUUCAGAUUGAGCCCUAAUAUACAGAGUAUACAAGGAACUCAAAAAAUUAGACAAAAAGAUAACAAACAACCCUAUCAACAAAUGGGCCAAGGACCUGAACAGACACUUCUCAGAAGAGGACAUACAAUCAAUCAACAAGUACAUGAAAAAAUGCUCACCAUCUCUAGCAGUCAGAGAAAUGCAAAUCAAAACCACCCUAAGAUACCAUCUCACUCCAGUAAGAUUGGCAGCCAUUAUGAAGUCAAACAACAAGUGCUGGAGAGGAUGUGGGGAAAAGGGUACUCUUGUACAUUGCUGGUGGGACUGCAAACUGGUGCGGCCAAUUUGGAAAGCAGUAUGGAGAUUCCUGGGAAAGCUGGGAAUGGAACCACCAUUUGACCCAGCUAUUGCCCUUCUCAGACUAUUCCCUGAAGACCAUAAAAGAGCAUACUACAGGGAUACUGCCACAUCGAUGUUCAUAGCAGCACAAUUCACAAUUGCUAGACUGUGGAACCAACCCAGAUGCCCUUCAAUAGAUGAAUGGAUAAAAAAAUGUGGCAUUUAUACACCAUGGAGUAUUACACAGCACUAAAAAAUGACAAAAUCAUGGAAUUUGCAGGGAAAUGGAUGGCACUAGAGCAGAUUAUGCUUAGUGAAGCUAGCCAAUCCCUAAAAAACAAAUACAAAAUGUCUUCUUUGAUAUAAUGAGAGCAACUAAGAACAGAGCAGGGAGGAAGAGCAGGAAGAAAAGAUUAACAUUAAACAGAGACAUGAGGUGGGAGGGAAAGGGAGAGAAAAGGGAAAUUGCAUGGUAAUGGAGGGAGACCCUCACUGUUAUACAAAAUUACAUAUAAGAGGUUGUGAGGGGAAUGUGAAAAUAAACAAGGAGAGAAGUGAAUUACAGUAGAUGGGGU